rnacentral:rRNA from 1 species
CUCUCGACAAUGGAUAUCUCAACUCUCGCAUCGAUGAAGAAUGUAGAAAAAUGUGAUAUUUGGUGCGGAUUGCAGAAUCCCAUGAACCAUCGAGUUUUUGAACGCAAGUUACGCCCAAGGCCAUUGUGCUGAGGGCACGUCUGCUUGGACGUCACGUACAUCGUCGCCCUCCAUCCCCAUUCCCGACGCGGGAUCGCAGUAGUUGGGUCGAAAACUAGCCUCCCGUGCUCGUCCGCGUGCGGCAGGCCCAAAUGCGAUUCGGCAUCGACGCGAGUCACGACAAUUGGUGGUUGAAGACCUCAACUCCCGCACGAUCGCAUCGUUUGACUGGAAUGCCUUGAACGGUAAGCGAAUCGGGAAGAGCCCAACUUGAGAAUCGAAUGGCCCUACCGUCCGAAUCGUAGUCUAGAGAAGCGUCCUCAGUGGCGGAUCGAGCUCAAGUCCCCUAGAAAGGGGCGUCGAAGAGGGUGAGAGCCCUAUCGUGCUCGGACCCUGCCGCACCAUGAGGCACUGUUGGCGAGUCGGGUUGUUUGGAAAUGUAGCCCCAAUCGGGCGGUAAAUUUUGUCUAAGGCUAAAUACGGGAGAGAGAUCGAUAGCGAACACGUAUCGUGAGGGAAAGAUGAAAAGAACUUUGAAAAAAGAGUCAAAGAAUGCUUGAAAUUAUCGAGAG